rnacentral:rRNA from 1 species
UACGGAGGGUGCAAGCGUUGUUCGGAAUCAUUGGGCGUAAAGCGCGUGUAGGCGGCUAGGCAAGUCGGUUGUGAAAGCCCGGGGCUCAACCCCGGAACGGCACCCGAGACGGCCAGGCUGGAGACCGGGAGAGGAGGGUGGAAUAGCCAGUGUAGAGGUGAAAUUCGUAGAUAUUGGCUGGAACACCGGUGGCGAAAGCGGCUCUCUGGCCCGGUUCUGACGCUGAGGCGCGAAAGCGUGGGGAGCAAACAGG